UUGAAACAGGUACUGUAGAUAAAUUAAUAGGCUUCCCUCAACUCAAGGAAGAAGAGCAAUUACCGCCUUUGGCCUCUCUUAUUUCCUUCGAACCAGCAAGUCGUGGGAUUCUAGAAAAACUUAUGCAGCACAAUAAAUUAAAAGUUCCCAUCUUCUCCUAUUUCUUUGUGUACUCACAAUUUAGUGCAACAACUCCAAAACCUUGAAGGGAUAAACACGAUUAUUGUCUAAAAAUAGAGGAGUUGAUAGGAGAAGGAGAAGAAAAAAAAAAUAGAGGAGUUGAUAGGAGAAGGAGAAGAAAAAAAACAUGACAGAUGAAGGGAGCAAGAAGAACAUCACUGCAAUUAUCAAUACACUCCUAAGGUUAAAGAAAUUGUACUAGUCCAAAGUCCAAACAACCAUUUGCCCUCUGCUAUAUCCUUGGAAGAAAUGAAUGGUGGGAAUCAAGGAGUCUUAUGCAGCAGGUAUGUUAAUAGUUAAUACUAAGAAUAUUUUCCUGUCUUCAAGGUUGCUGCAACAGCUCCAAAACCUUGAAUGCGCUUCCAUCUUUUUCAAUUAUUUCUUAUUGUUGGGUGAGAUUCAGUUCUUUUUCCCAGUUAUUUCCUUGAAGUUUCUUUAGUUAAUUAUUUCAAUGCACGCCUCAUUUGGAGCAUUAGAGGCGUAUGUCUCAGUGGUUUAUAGUACUGCCUCACUUCAAGUCGCACCUCAAAAUGCCUUUUUAUUUAAAUUAUGUUUGUGAUUGAAAGUUAUUUCUGAUCAAGGUUUAAACGCCUUUGUUUUGAAAGGGUUAAGUCAGGCCCUGACAGGAAACGGCGCUGACGAUCAGACCAAAGCUCUAUCUUCUAUGUUUACUUGUGUUAUUUUUAAUUUCUGUUAUAGGACAGGAAACGGCGCUGCUCAUAUCUUGGCAUCCAAAACAGAUAUUAGCUCGCCAGUUUCGUGCUCUUACCUCUAUCCCCCUGACUGGAUUCUGUUACAGUUAAAACAUGAUAUGUUAUUCUGUAAUAUGGCUACUGAUUAGCUUUUCG
rnacentral:lncRNA from 1 species